rnacentral:rRNA from 1 species
AACGGAGGGGGCUAGUGUUACUCAACUUGACUGGGCGUAAAGGGUGUGAAGGUGAUUUAACGCGUUUCUCUAAAAAAACUCAAACAUAAUUUGAGGUACUGAAUAAAUACGGUUAAACUUGAGUUUUAUUUAAGAAAGUUGUAUUUCUAGUGUAGAGGUGAAAUUUGCAAAAAUUAGAAAGACAAUCUACUGGCGAAGGCGACUCUCUAAUAUAAACUGACACUAAAGCACAAAAGCAUAGGUAGCAAACGGG